GUCCAGAACUGCCCCAGAAGCCAGUUAACUUCUUCUGUCUCCAGCCUUUCCUUCCAUUAAGACCCCACAAAAGAUGGCCCAUGUAUGCACUCCCUUGCAUAAAGGGCAUGAAGAUUAAUUACCUGGAGGCUAUUUGCAGCCACAAGUCCCUCUCCAUGUGCCUUGGAAGCCCUUAGACUCACUGCUCACCCCAGGAGGAGGACAGUUGGGGGAAGCACCCCCAGCUCUAAAGAGAGCAGAAAUUCUACAGUCACCAUCACCCAGUCCACCAGUCCCCACCACCAACACUGCCUCGGAUUUUGUCAGCUGAGCCUGUGGACCCUCUUGGCUGUGUGACCAUGGCGGAACUCUUCUCCCAUCUGGUCUGAAGGCUGGGACGUCCCGCCUCUGCUGUUCACUUCGUCCUCCGAUUCAGCCACGAUUUCCUAACACUCACCAGAGGAGACCUUGACUUUGCCAUCUCUGCAUCACCGUCCGUCGAUCGGAUCUGGAAGACCCAAGAAUGUUUAAUGCCUUUUGGUUUUACUAUCUCAAUUCUCUCUCUUAAAUAUGACAAGGCUCUGGUCUAGAUGCAAAGCAUCUUUAACUGAGGCUUGCUUGGCCCUGUCUGGUGCUGUAUAGAGGGUCAGUGGGGAGGCCUGUCAGGACACUUCAUAGGAAGGACUCUGGAGCCACAGGAAGGACACACGGAGGUAAAGGAAACCGGCAGGUGCAAUUUGCUGCUGCUGAAAAUGUCCUUGACUCCUGAGGGAAGGAGUGAUUUUCAGAAACACCUGGUAGAGACCUCUCUGGCUCCCAUCUAGCAGCCUGUGGGGGCAAAUAAAUCCUAAUCACCUGGGGGA